AAGUCGUAACAAGGUUUCCGUAGGUGAACCUGCGGAAGGAUCAUUAACACGUAUCCAACGUUAAACCCCCCGUGAACCUUCAGUGCGCUCGCACUUUCUUAGAAAAGGUAGCAAUGGGACUUCUGCGUAGACUGUGCUUGAGCGUGAGGCAAGUGGCCUGGCAUUCCUCUGCUUGUUGGUGUCUGAAAGUGUCACCAGCUCUGUACGAAUGGCGCAGUCACGAUCGCUAGAGGCCGACACGGCCGGCGACCGGGUCACUGGGCGCGAGCCCCCCUCGUCACCUUUGCAUGAAAACGGGCCUGCGCUUAAUUGUGCGGCCACCAAACUCGAACAACUGUUAACAAUGGAUAUCUUGGUUCUC
rnacentral:misc_RNA from 1 species